CAAGGAGAGCAGGAAUCCUAUAAUAAUGAGAGUUUAGAGAGAAAAAGAGAGAGAGAGAAUGAAUAGUCACUUUGUGUGUGGGCACAGGGUUUACAUCUGGUUUUAUAUUAAGUUUGAGCCAAGUGAAGGCCAAAUGAUACCACAACAAAGCUCAAAUUAACGUUCUGUGGUAGUCUGAAGAGGGAAAAGCAGUGAGAUAACCAGGUCAUAAACCCACUCAUCAAAGUAAAGUGCUUGCACCCGCGAUGGCUCAAAGGGGAGCUCUGCUGACUGUGGCCUAGAACCCAAGGCCCUGAGGACAAGGACAUGCGACUGGAAACCAUCUGAGCCCAGGUAGAAACAUAGAAACAGAGUGAUCAGGAAACAGAACUCAGCUUUGCAGACUGCCUAGUUAGUGAGUACAACUGCCUGAGCAGAUUCCCUCAUCCUGUACUGCUAGACUUAAAAUAGAUCACUAGAAGCUGGAACCUCAAGCGAUGGAGGGGAGGGGGACCCUAAAUUUCUCUUCAUG